GGACGAACGCUGGCGGCGUGCUUAACACAUGCAAGUCGAACGGAAAGGCCCCCUUGUGGGGUACUCGAGUGGCGAACGGGUGAGUAACACGUGAGUAACCUACCCUUGACUUUGGGAUAACUUCAGGAAACUGGGGCUAAUACCGGAUAGGAGCUCCUGCUGCAUGGUGGGGGUUGGAAAGUUUCGGCGGUUGGGGAUGGACUCGCGGCUUAUCAGCUUGUUGGUGGGGUAGUGGCUCACCAAGGCUUUGACGGGUAGCCGGCCUGAGAGGGUGACCGGCCACAUUGGGACUGAGAUACGGCCCAGACUCCUACGGGAGGCAGCAGUGGGGAAUAUUGCACAAUGGGCGGAAGCCUGAUGCAGCAACGCCGCGUGCGGGAUGACGGCCUUCGGGUUGUAAACCGCUUUCGCCUGUGACGAAGCGUGAGUGACGGUAAUGGGUAAAGAAGCACCGGCUAACUACGUG
rnacentral:rRNA from 1 species